rnacentral:rRNA from 1 species
AUUGAACGCUGGCGGCAUGCCUUACACAUGCAAGUCGAACGGCAGCACGGGAGCAAUCCUGGUGGCGAGUGGCGAACGGGUGAGUAAUAUAUCGGAACGUGCCCAGUCGUGGGGAUAACGUAGCGAAAGCUACGCUAAUACCGCAUACGAUCUAUGGAUGAAAGCGGGGGAUCGCAAGACCUCGCGCGAUUGGAGCGGCCGAUAUCAGAUUAGGUAGUUGGUGAGGUAAAGGCUCACCAAGCCGACGAUCUGUAGCUGGUCUGAGAGGACGACCAGCCACACUGGGACUGAGACACGGCCCAGACUCCUACGGGAGGCAGCAGUGGGAAUUUUGGACAAUGGGCGCAAGCCUGAUCCAGCAAUGCCGCGUGCAGGAUGAAGGCCUCGGGUUGGUAAACUAGUCUUUGUUACGGUACGAAACGGU